AGAGUUUGAUCAUGGCUCAGGAUGAACGCUGGCGGCGUGCCUAACACAUGCAAGUCGAACGGAGGGGGCAACCCUUCAGUGGCGCACGGGUGAGGAACACGUAGCUGACCUGCCUUCGGGUUUGGGAUAACGUUUCGAAAGAGACGCUAAUACCGGAUAAGCUCCCGCGCUUUAGAGGCGCGAGAGAAAAGGGGAAACCCGCCUGAAGAGGGGGCUGCGGCCCAUCAGGUAGAUGGUGAGGUAACGGCUCACCAUGCCGACGACGGGUCGGGGGUCUGAGAGGAUGGCCCCCCACACUGGGACUGAGACACGGCCCAGACUUCUACGGAAGGCAGCAGUGAGGAAUAUUGCGCAAUGGGGGCAACCCUGACGCAGCGACGCCGCGUGGGCGAUGAAGGUCUUCGGAUCGUAAAGCCCUUUUACCGAUGACGAGACAGGACGGUAGUCGGUGAAUAAGCCUCGGCUAACUACGUGCCAGCCGCCGCGGUAAUUC
rnacentral:rRNA from 1 species